UAGGGAAUCUUCGGCAAUGGACGGAAGUCUGACCGAGCAACGCCGCGUGCGUGAAGAAGGUUUUCGGAUCGUAAAGCUCUGUUGUUAGAGAAGAACGUUGGUAGGAGUGGAAAAUCUACCAAGUGACGGUAACUAACCAGAAAGGGACGGCUAACUACGUGCCAGCAGCCGCGGUAAUACGUAGGUCCCGAGCGUUGUCCGGCUUUAUUGGGCGUAAAGCGAGCGCAGGCGGUUCUUUAAGUCUGAAGUUAAAGGCAGUGGCUUAACCAUUGUACGCUUUGGAAACGGGAGGACUUGAGUGCAGAAGGGGAGAGUGGAAUUCCAUGUGUAGCGGUGAAAUGCGUAGAUAUAUGGAGGAACACCGGUGGCGAAAGCGGCUCUCUGGUCUGUAACUGACGCUGAGGCUCGAAAGCGUGGGGAGCAAACAGG
rnacentral:rRNA from 1 species